UAGAGUCUUUAUCAAAGUAUUAAAGGUACUCGAAGAAAUGGUGAAGUUGAAGCAUGAAUUAACUGUUUCAGUGUUAAAUUUAACAUAAUUAAUUGAAUAAUUUUAGUUCAUACGUAAUUAUGUAUUUCAAUGUCAUUUUAAUUUUGAUUAUUUGUAUUAUUGAAAAAGAGACAUUAUUUGAUAUUGUAUUAAAAAUACGAUAUUAAAUAAUUAAUACGUAAUAAAUUGUAUGUCUUGUAUCAGAGUUAAUUUUAUUUGAUUGUUUCAUAAUGGGUUUCUAUUAAAUAUACACCUGUCUCGGACACAUAAUGUCACAGUGUGACAUGUAUAUUCGGAUUGAAUUAUCCGAUGGUCAGGUAAAUCACAACCUGUUAAAAUGAGUUUUAUUUGACACCUGGUACACACGAAGUAGUUACACCACAGGUGUACA
rnacentral:lncRNA from 1 species